AGAAAGUUAGUCUAACUAAGACAGUUGAUUUCGACUCAACAGAUUAUAGCUCCACCCUAUAACUUUCUU
rnacentral:tRNA from 1 species